rfam:Oryza sativa Japonica Group DNA, chromosome 6, cultivar: Nipponbare, complete sequence.
AAAAAGACAAAUCCUAAGUUUCCGUGUUCAACUUUGACUGUCCGUUUUAUAUGAAAUUUUUUUAUAAUUCGUAUUUUUAUUGUUGUUAGAUGAUAAAACAUGAUUAAUAUUUUAUACGUGACUUGUCUUUUUAAUUUUUUUAAAUAAGAUGGACGGUCAAACAUUAGACACGAAAAUC